UACGAAUAUUAACUACAUAUCAAUUCCUUACAAUUAUGAGCAACUGCAGUAUGUGAUUUGGAGUAAAAUCAACACCAGCUACCUAAAUUUAUUUAAUGAAAAACACACUUCAGAAAAGUGAUUAAAUUGUACUUAACAUUCUGCAUUUUAUGAAGUACGUGUAAAUUUCAAGUAAAAUCUAUCUGAUACAAAAGCCUCAUAAAAUCUACACUAUUAAAUUACAAUCAUGCAGACAUACACAUUAGUCAAAGCUCAUGCUGAGGGAAGCCUGCAGGAAAACCGGUUCUUUCUGGUUCUUUCUGGUUCAUUUGAAUUUCUGGGGCACUCUGGACAUUCACAGGAUGUGGCAUUUAGAAAUGUUAUUUAAGGGUUGCUACUCUAGGAUAGACUCCAGGACUGAAACAAUUUUCACCAACCGGGAAAGGUGAAGGCCAACACAUGCUUCCUCCAAGACACGUGAAGCCAACCAACCGCAUCUUUCCACAUUGUUGCUCAUACUGCGUCAAAGGACAGUGCUAUCACACUUAGAGAAAAGAGCCCUAUUACACAUACAUGAGCUCACAGACAUGCAUGCCUCUGUGAUUGACAUGGGAGAGAGAGAAUGUCAUUCCUUCCACUCAGAGAGCAUGGCCAAUUUUGGUACAGCUGGCUGUGGCACCUUGAGGAUUCUUGACACAGGACAAAUGGUUUUUUGGCUGCUCAGCUCAGGGGUUUUUCAAGAUACUAUAGUAUUAGUCAUCCAGCACCAAGCUUUACACAAAAAUCCAUUUUGUACUGAUGCCAUGCUAGAACUACGGCUAAGCAGAACAGACGACAAAAAUCUAUUGGUCUUACCAUAACAAGAAUCUUAUUAUGAAGAGCAUUCAUAUAAGGUUGUUCUAUACAUAAUUGCAAUUCACAUAGAAAAAGAUCACAUGCAUGGGACACAAUGCAAGAAUUCACAAUUAUUCCCGCAUUCUAGUGAUGAAUAAACACCCUUUAACUGUACUGCAGCAAUUAUGGUGCCUUACAUAAAUAUUCGCCUCUUUUGGAUCUUUCCCCAUUCUAUAAAUUGGGAUUAUAUGUUCUAGACAAAAAAAAACCCUUGGCAAAAAACUGAAGUGAUUUAUUUGCUUCUCUGACUAAUGCUCUCCUUAUCUGUAAGCAGAGUCAUGGCUGUCUUUCCAUUUUGGAUGAAAUAAUAAUGGACUAAUGAUCCUUGGUCUUUAUGGGGCUAUUUGUUUCGGAAUGUUGCAUAAAAACUCAGGAAUAAGUAUAUUUAUAGUGAGAACACAAGUGGACUCUGUUCCACUAAUUACUGUAUGUGAUUAAUUUACUUCAGUAUUAUGGGCUAUUUUAUGUAGAUUCAUGACAUACUGCAUAAUUGCAAGGAAAGUAAUUUUAGUUCCAGGGACUAACACUACAAAAAGAAGAGAGGUUCAAGGGGGAUGAGUACUUAUACAAGCCUCUGUAUAUCUUUUUUUCUUUAAAUACAGACUAUCUUCAAACACUGACCAUGUGGUCCAUUAUUGGGCUCUUUAAAAGCUUAAAAAGUCUUUUAGUAAUUACCAUAGCUCAGUUUACUGCGAUAAUAGUGAAAAUGUCAGUGGAAGGUCUGAUCUGAUCUGACAGUCCAAUAUGCACCAAGGUCACAGUAUUGCUUAAGUAGUGUCUCUUCGGUUAAAUUAGGUUAAUGGCAGGUUUUGCUUCUCAACAGAAAAGCACU